GGGCACCUACGGGGGCCUAUACCCGGCGCAUCGCGCCCAAACAUAGCCCCUCCAACCUGGGGCAGAGCUAACGGAAGACAGAAA
rnacentral:ncRNA from 1 species